UAUGGCUAUAUCACAUUGAAACAUCGGUUCCUAUCAGAUCACCAAAGCUAAGCAACAUUGAACCUGGUCAAUACCUAGAUGGGUGACUGCUUAAGAAAAUCAGGUGCUGUAAG